AGUGGCGGACGGGUGAGUAACGCGUAAGAAUCUAACUUCAGGACGGGGACAACAGUUGGAAACGACUGCUAAUACCCGAUGUGCCGCGAGGUGAAACCUAAUUGGCCUGAAGAAGAGCUUGCGUCUGAUUAGCUAGUUGGUGGGGUAAAAGCCUACCAAGGCGACGAUCAGUAGCUGGUCUGAGAGGAUGAGCAGCCACACUGGGACUGAGACACGGCCCAGACUCCUACGGGAGGCAGCAGUGGGGAAUUUUCCGCAAUGGGCGAAAGCCUGACGGAGCAACGCCGCGUGAGGGAGGAAGGUCUUUGGAUUGUAAACCUCUUUUCUCAAGGAAGAAGUUCUGACGGUACUUGAGGAAUCAGCCUCGGCUAACUCCGUGCCAGCAGCCGCGGUAAUACGGGGGAGGCAAGCGUUAUCCGGAAUUAUUGGGCGUAAAGCGUCCGCAGGUGGUCAGCCAAGUCUGCCGUCAAAUCAGGUUGCUUAACGACCUAAAGGCGGUGGAAACUGGCAGACUAGAGAGCAGUAGGGGUAGCAGGAAUUCCCAGUGUAGCGGUGAAAUGCGUAGAGAUUGGGAAGAACAUCGGUGGCGAAAGCGUGCUACUGGGCUGUAUCUGACACUCAGGGACGAAAGCUAGGGGAGCGAAAGGGAUUAGAUACCCCUGUAGUCCUAGCCGUAAACGAUGGAUACUAGGCGUGGCUU
rnacentral:rRNA from 1 species